AGAGUUUGAUCAUGGCUCAGAAUGAACGCUGGCGGCGUGCUUAACACAUGCAAGUCGCACGAGAAUUCUUCUGCUUGCAGAAGAUAGUAAAGUGGCGCACGGGUGAGUAAUGCGUGGGCAAUCUUCCCUUGAAUCGGGGAUAACAUCGCGAAAGCUUUGCUAAUACCGGAUGACAUCCAUUUGUCUGCGGGCGAAUGGAUCAAAGGUGGCCUCUACAUGUAAGCUACUGUUUGAGGAUGAGCCUGCGUACCAUUAGCUAGUUGGUGGGGUAACGGCCCACCAAGGCGACGAUGGUUAGCUGGUCUGAGAGGAUGAUCAGCCACACUGGAACUGACACACGGUCCAGACUCCUACGGGAGGCAGCAGUGAGGAAUUUUGCGCAAUGGGGGAAACCCUGACGCAGCAACGCCGCGUGAGUAAUGAAGGCCUUCGGGUCGUAAAGCUCUGUCAAGUGGGAAGAACCUGCAGAAAGCUAACAUCUUUUUGCACUGACGGUACCACUGAAGGAAGCACCGGCUAACUCCGUGCCAGCAGCCGCGGUAAUACGGAGGGUGCAAGCGUUAUUCGGAAUUAUUGGGCGUAAAGGGCGCGUAGGCGGCCGUUUAAGUCAGGUGUGAAAGCCCGGGGCUUAACCCCGGAAGUGCAUUUGAUACUGAGCGGCUUGAGUAUGGGAGAGGGAAGUGGAAUU
rnacentral:rRNA from 1 species